GGCCAGCAGCCGCGGUAAUACGGAGGGUGCAAGCGUUGUUCGGAAUUAUUGGGCGUAAAGGGUGCGUAGGCGGACAGGCAAGUCAGGUGUGAAAUUCCGGUACUCAAUAUCGGAGCUGCACUUGAAACUACACUUCUAGAGGAUAGGCGGAGAAAACGGAAUUCCACAUGUAGCGGUGAAAUGCGUAGAUAUGUGGAAGAACACCGGUGGCGAAGGCGGUUUUCUAGCUUAUUCCUGACGCUGAGGCCCGAAAGCUAGGGGAGCGAACAGGAUUAGAUA
rnacentral:rRNA from 1 species